GGGGGGGGGCAAGCGUUGUUCGGAAUUACUGGGCGUAAAGGGCGCGCAGGCGGCCUGGGCCAGUCCUACGUGAAAUCCCACAGCUCAACUGUGGAACUGCGUGGGAUACUGCCAGGCUUGAGUCCGGGAGAGGAGAGUGGAAUUCCCAGUGUGGCGGUGAAAUGCGUAGAUAUUGGGAGGAACACCGGUGGCGAAGGCGGCUCUCUGGACCGGUACUGACGCUGAGGCGCGAAAGCUAGGGGAGCAAACGGGAUUAGAUACCCCGGUAGUCCUAGCCGUAAACUUUGAGCACUUGGUGCGGCGGGUAUCGACCCCUGCCGUGCCGAAGCUAACGCAUUAAGUGCUCCGCCUGGGGAGUACGGUCGCAAAGGCUG
rnacentral:rRNA from 1 species